GAUUCCCCUAGUAACGGCGAGUGAAGCGGGAUGAGCUCAAAUUUAAAAUCUGGCUGGUUUACCAGUCCGAGUUGUAGUUUAAAGAAGCGUUUUCGGUGGCAGUCUCGGUAUAAAUCCUUUGGAAUAGGGUAUCAUAGAGGGUGAGAAUCCCGUCUUUGACUGAGAAUAUGCUACUAUGUGAUACGUUUUCAAAGAGUCGAGUUGUUUGGGAAUGCAGCUCAAAAUGGGUGGUAAAUUUCAUCUAAAGCUAAAUAUUGGCGAGAGACCGAUAGCGAACAAGUACCGUGAGGGAAAGAUGAAAAGAACUUUGAAAAGAGAGUUAAACAGUGCGUGAAAUUGUUGAAAGGGAAACGCUUGAAACCAGUCAUGCGGUUGGGAAAUCAGUCUCUGACGGGGGGGAAUGGGGGAGGUGUGGACCGCAAGGCCGCUCUUUCUUAUAUCUUUCUCGGCAGGGAUGCACUUUUUCUUCUGCAGGUCAACAUCAGUUUGCUUUGCCGGACAAAACUCUUGGGAAGGUGACAGCUUAGGCUGUGUUAUAGCCCUUGAGCGAUACGGUGGAGCGGACUGAGGUUUUCGCAGCAUGUGCUCUCGGGCAAGGCUGAUUGGGUGCUAUGAGAUCGUUCAGGGUACAAUACAUGUAUUUUGCCUUGUGUCUUUUUUAUACUCGCUCAACUCGGCUCUUCCAUGCUUAGGAUGUUGACAUAAUGGUUUUAAUCGACCCGUCUUGAAACACGGACCAAGGAGUCUAACAUAUAUGCAAGUGUUUGGGUGGCAAACCCAUGCGCGUAAUGAAAGUGAACGUAGUGCGAUCCGCAAGGUGCAGCAUCGACCGAUCUUGAUAUUUUGGAUAGAUUUGAGUAGAGCAUAUAUGCUGGGACCCGAAAGAUGUGAACUAUGCCUGAUUAGGUGAAGCAGAGAAACUCUGGUGAGCUCGUAGCGAUUCUGACGUGCAAUCGAUCGUCAAUUUGGUAUAGGGCGAAAGACUAUCGACAUCUAGUAGCUGUCUGCCAGUUCUCCCC
rnacentral:rRNA from 2 species